GAGUUUGAUCUUGGCUCAGGACGAACGCUGGCGGCGCGCCUAACACAUGCAAGUCGAGCGAGAACCGGAGCUUCGGCUCCGGGGACAGCGGCGAACGGGUGAGUAACACGUGGAUAACCUGCCCUCGGCACCGGAAUAGCCCGGGGAAACCCGGAUUAAUGCCGGAUAGCCCCACAUCCCUGCGGGGAACGUGGGAAAAGGUAGCUUCGGCCUCUGGCCGAGGAUGGGUCCGCGGUGGAUUAGCUUGUUGGUGCGGGUAAUGGCCCACCAAGGCGACGAUCCAUAGCUGGUCUGAGAGGACGAUCAGCCACACUGGGACUGGGACACGGCCCAGACUCCUACGGGAGGCAGCAGUGGGGAAUAUUGGACAAUGGGCGCAAGCCUGAUCCAGCAAUGCCGCGUGAGUGAUGAAGGCCUUAGGGUUGUAAAGCUCUUUUACCCGGGAUGAUAAUGACAGUACCGGGAGAAUAAGCCCCGGCUAACUCCGUGCCAGCAGCAGCAGCCGCAGUAAC
rnacentral:rRNA from 1 species